rfam:Camelus ferus unplaced genomic scaffold scaffold16088, whole genome shotgun sequence.
UAGCUCAGUGGUAGAGCACGUGCUUAGCAUGCACGAGGUCCUGGAUUCAAUCCCCAG